rnacentral:rRNA from 1 species
CUUUAUUGGAGAGUUUGAUCCUGGCUCAGGAUGAACGCUGGCGGCGUGCCUAAUACAUGCAAGUCGAGCGAAUGGAUUAAGAGCUUGCUCUUAUGAAGUUAGCGGCGGACGGGUG